CUACGGAGGGUGCAAGCGUUACUCGGAAUCACUGGGCGUAAAGCGCGCGCAGGCAGCCUGAUAAGUUGGAUGUGAAAGCCUACGGCUCAACCGUAGAACUGCAUCCAAAACUGUCAGGCUAGAGUGUGGGAGAGGAAGAUGGAAUUAGUUGUGUAGGGGUAAAAUCCGUAGAGAUAACUAGGAAUACCAAAAGCGAAGGCAAUCUUCUGGAACACUACUGACGCUGAGGCGCGAAGGCGUGGGGAGCAAACAGGAUUAGAUACCCUAGUAGUCC
rnacentral:rRNA from 1 species